AACGAACGCUGGCGGCAGGCCUAACACAUGCAAGUCGAACGGGAAGCCAUCCUUCGGGGUGGUGGAGAGUGGCGCACGGGUGAGUAACGCGUGGGAACCUACCUUUUGGUACGGAACAACCAAUGGAAACGUUGGCUAAUACCGUAUACGUCCUCUUGGGUGAGAGCCUAAUUGGAGAAAGAUUUAUCGCCGAGAGAUGGGCCCGCGUCCGAUUAGCUAGUUGGUGGGUAACGGCCUACCAAGGCUGCGAUCGGUAGCUGGUCUGAGAGGAUGAUCAGCCACACUGGGACUGAGACACGGCCCAGACUCCUACGGGAGGCAGCAGUGGGGAAUAUUGGACAAUGGGCGCAAGGCCUGAUCCAGCCAUGCCGCGUCGAGUGAAGAAGGCCCUAGGGUU
rnacentral:rRNA from 1 species